rnacentral:rRNA from 1 species
AUUGAACGCUGGCGGCAGGCCUAACACAUGCAAGUCGAACGAGUGGCGGACGGGUGAGUAAUGUCUGGGAAACUGCCUGAUGGAGGGGGAUAACUACUGGAAACGGUAGCUAAUACCGCAUACCAUCAGAUGUGCCCAGAGGGGAUUAGCUGGUUGGUGGGGUAACGGCUCACCAAGGCGACGAUCGCUAGCUGGUCUGAAAGGAUGACCAGCCACACUGGAACUGAGACACGGUCCAGACCCUUACGGGAGGAAGCAGUGGGGAAUAUUGCACAAUGGGCGCAAGCCGGAUGCAGCCAUGCCGCGGGUAGGAAGAAGGCCUUCGGGUGGUAAAGUACUUUCAGCGGGGAGGCGUUACCCGCAGAAGAAGCACCGGCUAACUCCGUGCCAGCAGCCGCGGUAAUAC